GGGGCGCGCGAGCAGCGCGGCUGCGGGGUGGGCUGAGCCGAGAGAAGCUGAGGGGGCGGUAGCGGCAGCGGCGAUUCGCGUGCCUGUGCUCAGCUCCUCACGCCGCGGCCGGGGCCGCCUUCUCCCUCCUUCCUUCCCGCCCCCGAGUGCGGCGGUACCGCCUCCUUCAGCGCCGCGCGGCUUCCUCCAGACCUCCGUGCGCGGGUGAGCUCUGUUCUCAGAGGCAUUUGGUGCUGAUCCUGUAACCCAAAAGAGGAAAUUGCUGCCUGAGAUCAGCCUUGGUACUGGUAAGUGAGGGUGCCUAGGAAACUCUGUGCAAACUUGGGCCAAGAUACAGGGUAACUAGUUUGGGACUUAUUUUUACCCCGAGAACAGGUAACUUACAGGUAAUUACUCCAUGUCAUAGGCAGCCUCCUGUGCUGGGAGAAUUGGACUUGCUUUCCUGGAGCUGUCAUGAGAGACAGUCUGGGAUUAUUUGCCACAAAUAAAGCAAAACAGGCUCAAUUCCUUCUGGCUUCUGCCAGCUGCUUUCUGCUGGGGGAUAUCCUGGACCUGGCAGCUAAGCCCCAUUCUCCUAUAAGCUCUCUUAACAUGACUUCAUAGCCCUUGUAGACUUUGCUGAUUUCAUUCUUGAUGGUAAUUUACCAAGCCCAGAGUCAGCUUCAGAAAAUCCUAUAGUUUUAUCAGUCCUGCAGAAUAUGGUCAUGAGAUGAGAAUGGAAUAGUAAGAGUAGAGCUUUAUGAAGGGGGAAGUCCAGAGAAGCUUAGAAAGAAGACUUGCAGAUGGUAAAGCAGGAGGGGAAAUCAACAUGUUAAGAACCAAUAGUUGUGGUGUGGAUCAUUUAAUCUAGACAGAAGCCCAUUUUAUAGAUGAGGAAAUUUAGAAAAAAUUUAAAAAUAUUUAUUAUGUUUUAUUUCAGGUUUACAGCAAAGUGAUUCAGAUAUAUUCUUUUUUAGAUUCUUUUCCAUUAUAAAUUAUUACAAGAUAUUGAGUAUAGUUCUCUAUGUUACGUUAUAGGUCCUUGUUGGUUAUCUAUUUUAUAGGUAAUAGUGUGUGUAUUUUAAUCACAAACCUCUAAGUUAUCCCCUCCCACCCCUUUUCCCCUUUGGUAACCAUAAGUAUGUUUUCUAUGGCUGUGAGUAUAGACUCUAUUAGAUGAGGGAAUUGAAGCUCAGGAAAUGAAAGCAGUUUGCCCAAGGUUUACACUUGGGAAUCCAUAAAGCUGAUAUUAGAACCUGGGUCAGUCUAACUGUGAAUACCAUUGUUCUGACUUGGCAGACUUUCCUUGGACUGCUAAUCUCCCUGGAAUCAUGACUUUUCAUAUAAAGUUCAAGAAGACAGACAUCCUUAGGGAUUCAGGAAGGAGGUCUAGUUAUUAGAGGGACCCAGCAAGACAGGCAGGAGUUGGGGGGGGGGUCCCUUCUGAUCAAUGGCAAUUAUAGUGAGGGGGUCACCGAAAAGAGGUUGAAAGAUAAGAAAAACUUUCAAGCAGGCAGAGGCCCAGGCUAAAUAUGAUUAGAAGGAGAAGACAACAUAUGUAACACAUGGAAUCCCAUAACACUUGGACCAGCACAGAUAGCGACCUGGAGAGCUGAGUUGCAGUUGGGAAGCCUAGGUUUUUAUCUUCUUUCUCAACAUUUGCAUUUGAGUAAUUGCCAUUUCCCUAUUUGUAAAAUUGGAGUGCCUCCCUGUACCCCCACAUGUCUGUUUUGUUUACACCAACCAUGCAGGGUGUUAUAGAGAAUCAAAUGAGAAAUGCAAGUUAGAAAGGUUUGUGAAUUAUAAAACAGCAUGACUGAAAUGAGAGAAAGUGAGAAAACAGCAUUGUAAGUAUCCCUGGCAUCUCAAUCCCUGACCUCUUUGCCACCUUACUCCCCAGGGCUAAAAGGGAAAGUUUUGUUUUGUAAAUUUACACUGUAAACUUUCUCCUAUGCCCUUUCUUCUGUAGGCCCUACCUAAAGUUCAAUCUUUCCACAAGCUCAGUCUUCCCAGGGCACAGAGACAAAGCCAGGCAGCCUUGGCAGCCAUGAUUUGCAGCAUGUGGGCUGCAGAGUGCAGGUUUAAAUGCACUCACACAGCCUGGCUCCAGGGCCACUGCUGGUACAGACAUUAAAGCUGUAUGUCUUCAUAUCCACAGAGCCCAUCCACAGCAUGUGUCUGUACUCACUAAGUUUCACUAAGAUGUUGCCUGUUAACCUACUGUCAUCUCAGAUGAGAAUGGUUAUUCUUACUUUGGCUCUAGGUUGCCUGCCUACCCCAACCCCCACCCUUCAACUGCUAGUGAAAAACGUACUUAUGAUGUAGCCUCAUAUCUUAUUAGAGGUCAUGGUCAUUCCAGUUUUUCUACCAUCUCUCACCCUUGUCCAGUGAUAUAGGUUACUCUCUUCAUACUCUGUAACAAAGGGCAUUCUGUUCUCACUCGCCUGUGUGGUUGCACCGAGAGGUGUAUCACCCCCUACCUGAUGCUCCAGGAAUCCACACUGGCCAACCUUCCCUCCUAUUCUCAAUCGCUAGGCUCUUGCUGUCGUGUCUUUUUGCCUUGGUUAAUCUAAGGUUCCUAUAGCCUCUGGUCUUUCCAUGGCCUGGGCAUCAAGCUUGGAUUUUAUUGUUCUUAUAAAAACUGUGAAGAAGUUCCACUAUUGACUCUUUUAAAAUAUGAAUGAUUCCAGAAGUUCUCAUCAUGGCUCAGCGGUUAGCAAACUCGACUAGCAUCCAUGAGGAUGUGGGUUUGAUCUCUGGCCUUGCUCGGUGGGUUAAGGAUCUGGUGUUGCCUUAAGCUGUGGUGUAGGUCACAGAUGUGGCUUGGAUUCCACAUUGCUGUGGCUGUGGCUGUGGCAUAGGCCAGUGGCUACGGCUCCUAUUGGACCCCUAGCCUGGGAACUUCCAUAUGCCGUGGGUCCAGCCCUAAAAGAUAAAUAAAUAAAUAAAAUAAAAUAAAAUAUGAACGAUUCCAUGUAAAAAAGUUUACAACAUUGUGGUAUCUACACAGUAGAUAGAUGUAGUAGUUAGAUCUACAAAGAUGUUAUUUAUCUAACAUCCUCAAUUUUCUGGAGUCCAACUAAAAAGGAGGAAACAAAACAUUGUCAUCCGUAAGACCUUGCACAGGCGUUGGUCAGCAAGCCUGGCACUUUAGUUUCUCAAUCCUCAUAAGACUAAGAACAGCAUAUAAAAAGGAAAGGAUGAGUUGAUAUAUUAGCAGCAGCUAGAGGUGAGAACUAGGAGUAAGGGAGAGAUAAAAGAAUGAUGAGAAAGGAAAGUUAAAACAAGUAUGAAGGCUAUACUUUUGAGCAACAGCCUUAUAUACAUCUACGUACUUCAGUAAGAUGGGGCAAGGUAAUUUUUAAGGUAGUUCUAGGUUCUUAAAGGUGAAAGGUAUCAGAGAAUGUUUAUUGUGUCUACUGUAUUAUCAGGCGCUGUAUUGAAUGCUCUAUAUGAUUUAAUUUCAUUUCCAUAGAAGUAGGUAUUGAUAUUCUCAUUUCAUAAAUUACUGAGUUCCUGUUGUGGCUCAGUGGUAGCGAACCCAGCUGCUAUCCGUGAAGAUGCGGGUUUGAUCCCUGGCUUUUCUCAGUGGCUCGGGGAUCCGGUGUUGCCAUGAGCUAUGGUGUAGGUUGCAGACUUGGCUUGGAUCCCAGGUUGCUAUGGCUGUAGCGUAGGCUGGCAGCUACAGCUCUGAUUCAGUCCCUAGCCUGGGAGUUUCUAUGUGCUGCAAGUGCAGCCCUAAAAAGCAGAAAACCCCAAAUAAAUAAAUAAAUUUACUAAGACUUAGGGAGGGACACACAGGCAGUGAUUGGAAGAGCUAAGCUUAGAACUUGGAAGAAUCUGGCUCUAAAGAACCAUGUUUUUUCUGUUAUUUGGUAUUGGCUCUUUCCCUGUGACCUAAAACCUGGUCCUUCUUAGCCUCUUAAGCCAGUGGUUCUUCACCCAUCCCCUUUUGUUCCUUUUCCUGUAUAGGAAUGUCUUGCUUUUUAAAGACAUUCAUUCAGGAGUUCCCUGAUGGCCUAGCAGGAGUUCCCUGGCGGCUUAAGGAUCCAGUGUGGUCACUGCUGUGGCUUGGGUCAUUGCUAUGAUAUAGGUUCAGUCCCCGGCCUGGGAAUUUCUACAUGCCAUGAGCAAGGCCAAAAUAAAGACGUUUAUUUAGUGUAUAUCUAUUGUCUACUUUGUGCCAGGCACAGUUUUAAGUGUUUGGAAUGUAGCAGUGAAGAAAAUAGUUUUCUAACUUCUAGUGGAGAAAAAACAAAUGAGUAUAUAUGAAGAAAAAUAAAGCAGGCUAAGGGAGUAGGGACUGUGUGAUGAAGAAGGCCUCUGUGAGAAAAUAAAAUCUGUAGAAAUAUGCAGGAACUGAAGUAGUGAAUUAUGUGUAUAUCAUGGGGAAUAACAUUCUAGGCAUAGAGUUUAGCAAGCUUGGCGGCCCUAAAAUGGGGGCAUGUUUAAUACACUUGAGGAACCAAAGGAGGUCAGUGUAGCUAGAGAUGAAGUAAUAGGGAAAAUGGAAUAUGGAGAAGAAGUCACAAGUGUGGAUAGGAAUUCAGAUCAUGUAGGGCUUUAUUCUGAGUGACAUAGGAAGCCACUGGAGAGUUUUGGAUGGAGGAAUGACAUAUUAUGACAUCCAAUAAAAAGAAAAAAAUCUGCAUGGUUGUAUUAGCUAGGACGUCCAGUACAAUGUUGCACAGAACUGAUGAGAGCAGAUGCUCUUAUCUUUAUCCCAAUUUUAGGGAGGAAGUAUUCAGUCUUUCACCAUUAAGAGUGAUGUUAGUUAUAGGGGUUUUUUUGGUGGAAUGCAUUUAUCAGGCUAAGUAAGUGCUUUUCUAUUCCUAAUUUGUUGAGAGAUUUUAUUAUGGGUGGAUGUUGGAUUUGUGUGGUUUUUGUCCUUUCAUUCUACUAACUUGGCACUACAUUAGUUGGUUUUUGGUUAUUAAGCCGACCUUGUAUUCCUAGAGUAAGGCUCACUUGCUUAUAGUGUAUAAUCCUUUUUGUAUGGUUUCGAGGUUGUUUACUAAUAUUUCAUUGAAGAUUUUUGCAUUUGUAUUCAUGAGGGGUAUUUGUCAGUAGUUUUCUUGUGAUGUCUUUUUUUUUUUUUUUCUUUUUGUCUUUUUUGUUGUUGUUGUUGCUAUUUCUUGGGCCGCUCCCGCGGCAUAUGGAGGUUCCCAGGCUAGGGGUCCAAUCGGAGCUGUAGCCACCAGCCUACGCCAGAGCCACAGCAACGCGGGAUCCGAGCCGCAUCUGCAACCUACACCACAGCUCACGGCAACGCCGUAUCGUUAACCCACUGAGCAAGGGCAGGGACCGAACCCGCAACCUCAUGGUUCCUAGUCGGAUUCGUUAACCACUGCGCCACAACGGGAACUCCUUGUGAUGUCUUUGUCUAGUUUUGGUAUCAGGGUGAUACUGGCCUCUUAAGUUGGAGAAUAUUCCUUCUUCCUCUAUUUUCUUGAAGAGUUUGUGAAGGAUUGAUACUUUUUUGACUGUUUGAUAGAGUUCGCCAAUGAAGCCAUGUGGGCCUAGGCUUUUCUGUGUUGAAAGAUUUUUAUUAACUAAUUCAGAAUGUUUUUUAUUUGUUAUAGGUCUCCUCAGAUUUUCUGUUUCCUUUUUAGUCACUUUCAAUAAUUUGUAUCUUUCUAGGAAUUUGUUCACUUCAUGUAAGUUGUCUAAUUUCAUGGCUUAAAGUUGUUUGUAGUAUUUCCUUAUAAUCUUUUUAACUCUGGAAAGUCAGUAGUAAUGUCCCCCUUUUCAUUCUUGGCCUUAGCAAUUUGUAUCUUCCCUGUCUUUUUUUUUUUUUUUUUUUAAUGAUUUUUAUUUUUUCCAUCAUAUCUGGUUUGCAGUGUUCUGUCAAUUUUCUACUGUACAGCAAGGUGACUCAAUCACAUGUAUGUAUAUACAUUCUUUUUCUCACAUUAUCAUGCUCCAUCAUAAGUGACUAGAUAUAAUUCCCAGUGCUAUACAGCAGUAUCUCAUUGCUUAUCUAUUCCAAAGGCAAUAGUUUGCAUAUGUUAACCCCAAAUUCCAGUCCAUCCCACUCCCUCCCCCUCGGCAACCACAAGUCUGUUCUCCAAGUCCAUGAGUUUCUUCUCUGUGGAAAGGUUCAUCUAUGCCAUAUAUUAGAUUCCAGAUAUAAGUGAUAUCAUAUGGUAUUUGUCUUUCUCUUUCUGACUUACUUCACAUAGUAUGAGAGUCUCUAGUUCCAUCCAUGUUGCUGCAGAUGGCAUUAUUUUGUUCUUUUUUAUGGCUGAGUAGUAUUCCAUUGUGUGUAUAUACCACAUCUUCUUAAUCCAUUCGUCUGCUGGUGGACGUUUAGGUUGUUUCCAUGUCUUGGCUGCUGUGAAUAAUGCUGCAAUGAACAUAUGGGUGCAUGUAUCUUUUUCAAGGAAAGUUUUGUGAGGAUUUGUGCCCAAGAGUGGUAUUGCUGGGUCAUAUGGUAGUUCUAUAUUUAGUUUUCUGAGGUACCUUCAUACUGUUUUCCACAGUGGUUGUACCAAUUUACAUUCCCACCAACAGUGUAGGAGGGUUCCCUUUUCUACACACCCCCUCCAGCAUUUAUUAUUUGUGGACUUAUUAAUGAUGGCCAUUCUGACUCAAGUGAGGUGGUAUCUCAUGGUAGUUUUGAUUUGCAUUUCUGUAAUAAUCAGUGAUGUUGAGCAUUUUUUCAUGUGCUUGUCGGCCAUCUUCUGUCUUUUUUUGUCAGUCUUGCUAAAGGUUCCAUUUUGUUGAUCCUUUCAAAGAACCAAGUUUUGGUUUCAUUGUUUUUCCAUUCCAUUAAUUUCUUAUUUUACUUUUUUAUUUCUUAUUUUUUUUAAGGGCUGCUCCUGAGGCAUAUGGAAGUUCCCAGGCUAGGGAUUGAGUUGGUGCUAUAGCUGCCGGCCUGUGCCACAGCCACAGCAGCACCAGAUCCAAGCUGUGUCUGUGACCUACACCAUAGUUCACAGCAAUGCUGGAUCCUUAACCCACUGAGCGAGGCCAGGGAUUGAACCCAAGUCCCCAUGGAUACUAUAUCUGGUUCAUAACCUGCUGCACCACAAGGGAACUCUCUAGGUUACUUUUUUUUUUUUUUUUUUUUGGUCUUUUUGCCUUUUCCAGGCCUGCUCCCUUGGCGUAUGGAGGUUCCCAGGCUAGGGGUUGAAUCGGAGCUGUAGCCACCGGCCUACGCCAGAGCCACAGCAACGCGGGAUCCGAGCCGCGUCUGCAACCUACACCACAGCUCACGGCAACGCCGGAUCGUUAACCCACUGAGCAAGGGCAGGGACCAAACGCACAACCUCAUGGUUCCUAGUCAGAUUCGUUAACCACUGCGCCACCACGGGAACUCCUAGGUUACUUUUUUAAGUGUAGCCCGAAUGAAACUUCUUCAGGCUUGACUGUCCUAUGAGUUGUCAGGUGCUUCUGAUAAAGUAUCUCUGGAGAAGUAUCUGGAGCUUCAGAGAGGGCCCAGCUCAGAAACAGUAGGGGAGGCAAGUGGUCAGCAGUGUUUGCAUUACCAACAGGGAGCAGGGCAAGGACUUGAUUCAUAGUGCUGGGCAGCCUGAGUUCUGCCUUCCCCCUGUUAUUACUGGGCAGGCAGGCAGUGGGGUGGGCCUGGGAUUUGCGUGAGGGUGGGCCUGAAAUGGGGGACGAUAUAGCAGAUAGUCAGGUGACAUGGAGAGCCAGAGCUCCCUGGGCUUCUGAUAUUUUACCUGAUAAAGAGCUAUACCCAUCUCACAGACUUUGGAGACCUUAAAGAGUACCUCUGUUCCUCUUAAUGACUGAGAUUCUAAGCAGAGAUUUGAUUCCAUGAAAGAAAUAAGGCUUCAAGGCAGAUCCCAUAGGUAAAUAUGGAAGUAGAUAUUGAAGAACUCUAAGCAAUGCCUAGGUUUGCUGGAUACUUUUUGUGGCCUUAGUUUCCUCAUCUAUAAACAAUAUCAGUUUCUACCCACCCUACUGUGUAAGGCAUAUUUUAAAUAAGUACUAUGUAAAACCAUUAGAUACCAUCCAUAUGUAAGGGACAAUUAUGUUAGUAAUUACGGUCCUAGAGACUUGGGACAAGGUCUGAGAAAAUCCAGGAGCAGUUGCAGUACAUCAUCCUUCAAGGUGUAGGGGCUGAAUUUCUUACUAAAGUGGACUCGUAGCUUAGUGUUAAGGCAGGAGGUUCACUGUCUGCCAGUGUAAUCAUCAGAAGACUCCUGGAGUUUUCUAUGGAGAAGAUCUGAGGGAGUCCAUCAGGGCAGCUCAUAUUAAAAGUAGCUGUCCCUGUUCCUUUUCCACUCAGGAAUUUUGCCCACAUUUUAUUGCUUUGGUUCCAGAGACAGCUAGCUUUCCUGAUGGUUGCUGUCACAGGGAAAGCGACAAGGCCCAGCUCACUUGAGGGGAAGGAAUAGUGUGCAAAAGGUUCUGGGCCCCAUCAGGCCCUGUGUCCUCCUCCUCCCUCAGUUUUCAUUAAAAUGAAAGAAGGUCUUUCUGUCCCAUUGGAUCAGCAAGCCUGACAGAAGAGGGACUGACAAGUCCUAUAAGUCAGAUCAGCUAGAGGGCAGUUUUAAGGAUGUUGACUGUGGCAGAGUUAGGAUUCUGAGCGUAAGAAUAAAGCCAAGAAAUCAAACACCCAAACUGGGUAACCAUAAAUCAGUAAACCAAUGUCCAUGAGCAACUGCAGUGCCAGAAUCCUGAGAUGAGUAGGGCAGGAAUAAACGGGAUUUGAGAUCUAGUGAGG
rnacentral:lncRNA from 1 species